rnacentral:rRNA from 1 species
UACGUAGGGAGCAAGGCGUUGUUCGGAUUUACUGGGCGUAAAGGGCGCGUAGGCGGCAAUUCAAGUCACUUGUGAAAUCUCCGGGACUUAACUCGGAACGGGUCAAGUGAUACUGUCGGACUAGAGUACAGAAGGGGCAACUGGAAUUCUCGGGUGUAGCGGUGAAAUGCGUAGAUAAUCGAGAGGAACACCUGCGGCGA